rnacentral:lncRNA from 1 species
UUUUCAAAACAUUUAUUCCAUCUAUCUAUCUUUUUUUCUGUGUGUGUUUAGGUCAGAAGAAACUCUGGGGUAUCUAUCUGUUAUGUCAUCCCACAGUGUGAGUCCUGGGGGCUGAACCAUGGCAAGGCUUAGUGGUGGGCACCCUCAUCCCCCGAGCCACCUAGGUAGCCCAGUAUACGUUUAAAGAACGUCUGUGUGCCUCCCCAUUUGCAUUAAACAUUUUGUAUGUGUACUUAUUUUUAAGUGUAUGAGUGUUUCCCUAUCUAUGGCAUCAGACUCCUUGGAACUGAAGUUACUGAUGGCUGUAAACCAUUGUGUGAGCGCUGAGAACCAAACCCUGGUCCUCUGCAAGAGCAGUCAGUGGCUUUAAUGGCCAAGACGUAUCUACAAACCUCUAUUUUCUGUCUCUUGAUGAAUCCUUCGCAGUGGCUAUUUCCAUUUCAUGCUGUGUGCACUAAGGAUACACAAGCCUUGUUACACAGAUACAUGUCUCAUCCUUUAGAAACUGUGUGAGUAAGGAAGAAUAGAAAUUGAAGUGCCCCUGGGCCUGGAGUUAUAAGCAGCUGUAUAAGCUACGAUGUGGGUGCUGGGAUCAGAAACAAAACAAGUGCUAUUAACCACCCAGUCACCUCUCCAGCCCCUAUAGUCACAUCUUAUUUUUGUUUUAUUUUAUUUUUUUGGUUUUUUGGGACAAGGUUUCUCUGUGUAGCCCUGGUUGUCCUGGAACUCACUCUGUAGACCAGGCUGGCCUCGAAUUCAGAAAUCCGCCUGCUUCUGCCUCCCACAUAGUUACAUUUUAAAUGCUUAUAGAAUUUCCUACACAACAGUCUCACUUUUGUCUCCUGGCCUACAAAACAUAAAAACGAUUGGCUAUUUGGCCCCUCAGAAAAGCUUUGCAAACAUCAGAACUCAUCUUGGUUUAAGGAUUAACCCUUAUUUGUAAGACUCCUGAGCAUAAAUUUAAGGAUUAGAAUUUGCUCUGUAUAUGCCUGUCAAUAGGAUUAUAAACCCAAAGACAUCUUACUAAAGCAGUUAAGAUUAGCCACUCCUACACCGGUUAACAGUGCCACACACCUUUAAUCCCUGUAAAGUGAGUUCCAGGUCAGCCAGGUCUACACAGAGAAACCCUGUCUCAAGAAAAUAAAAAAUUAGGCACUCCUUUUUAAUUGCAGGACACAGCUGUACCUAGAGUGGAAAAAUAAAUAAUUGUGGAAUACAGUUAUGGUUCAAAAGGUAGAAAAAAUGCAAAUGGAAGAAAAUGGACCAAAGACAAAGCCUAGGAAAUUUGCUAUUUAUGGUGGGGAAGAAAUAUGUGACUCAACAUUUAAAUGGGUACAGCGAUUUGAGAUCUUUUGGUCCUCUAUUGUGUGAAUUAAAGACCAUGUUUGUUUUUUGGGACCAAUAGGUGGCCAAGUGGGUAAAAAAGAUGCUUGCCACCAAGUCUGCCCUGAGUUGGGUUCCUGGGAACCACAUGGUAGAAGGAGAACCAGCUACAAGUUUCUUGUGACUUCCACUCUCCCUGUAAGGCACACGAGAGCUCGAGUUGUGUGUGUGUGUGUCACACAGUUACUCUACACACAAAAAAACUUUUUUUAGAUGUAAAAGAAAAUGGUUUUUGAAAUGAAAAGAGACAGUGCUAAGAGCCAAGUACAAGGUUUAGUCCUUGCUACACAAGCCUGCAUUUGAUCCCUGAAGCCCAUGCAAAGGUGGAAGAAGAGACCCGAUUCCGUGGCGAUGUCCUCUGACCUCCACUGCACUCUAUGGUAUGUGCUCCUCUGGACACACAUCCUAGAGAUACAAGUGAAGUGACAGACUUGGAGAUGGUAGCAGGAGGGUCAGGAGUUUAAGGAUAGCCUUGACUACAUAACGAGACAAGCCUGGGCUAUGAGAUCCUGUUUCAAACAAACAAACAAAUAAACAAAUGGGGCUAGAGAGAUGCCCCAGUGGUUAAGUGCACUUGCUGCUGUUCUUCCUAAGGCUCCCCCUACACACACACGAACACAGAUAUAUACUUAGUAAUAAAUCAAUAUGCUGGUCCUAGUGGUACAGGCGUAAAUGUCAGUGUUGGGUGUCCAAGAUGAGAGGAUCCAAAGUACAAGGCUUGCCGCAACUCGAGAGAAGGAGUUGAAGACUGAUGGUUUCUAAUGGCUUCCUUGAACCACUAAGUCAUCUCUGACACGCACUUGCUGUUUGGCGGUGUAAAUGCCCACGAUUAAUAGAACCUGUUUGAAGAGAUGUUCUUCCUUGCUGCUGAGAACACUCUAAUAUCAGAAGUAGAAUGUUAUUAAGAGUCCACUGGCACAGAGAGGCAGAGUGAUAUGGACAGCCAUGACCUGAGAAAGUUCUUUCUAAAAUAAUAAAACUCAAUUUAUCUUC